rnacentral:tRNA from 1 species
GGCUCAUGUAGCUCAGUUGGUAGAGCACACCCUUGGUAAGGGUGAGGUCGGCAGUUCAAAUCUGCUCAUGAGCUCCAU